GAUGAACGCUGGCGGCGUGCCUAAUACAUGCAAGUCGAGCGAACAGACGAGGAGCUUGUUCCUCUGACGUUAGCGGCGGACGGGUGAGUAACACGUGGAUAACCUACCUAUAAGACUGGGAUAACUUCGGGAAACCGGAGCUAAUACCGGAUAAUAUAUUGAACCGCAUGGUUCAAUAGUGAAAGACGGUUUUGCUGUCACUUAUAGAUGGAUCCGCGCCGCAUUAGCUAGUUGGUAAGGUAACGGCUUACCAAGGCAACGAUGCGUAGCCGACCUGAGAGGGUGAUCGGCCACACUGGAACUGAGACACGGUCCAGACUCCUACGGGAGGCAGCAGUAGGGAAUCUUCCGCAAUGGGCGAAAGCUUGACGGAGCAACGCCGCGUGAGUGAUGAAGGUCUUCGGAUCGUAAAACUCUGUUAUUAGGGAAGAACAAAUGUGUAAGUAACUAUGCACGUCUUGACGGUACCUAAUCAGAAAGCCACGGCUAACUACGUG
rnacentral:rRNA from 1 species